rnacentral:rRNA from 1 species
AAUAGAUACCCCGGUAGUCCACGCCCUAAACGAUGUCUACUAGUUGUCGGGGAUUAAUUUCCUUGGUAACGCAGCUAACGCGGGAAGUAGACCGCCUGGGGAGUACGGUCGCAAGAUUAAAACUCAAAGGAAUUGACGGGGACCCGCACAAGCGGUGGAUGAUGUGGAUUAAUUCGAUGCAACGCGAAAAACCUUACCUACGCUUGACAUGUCCGGAAUCCUGCAGAGAUGUGGGAGUGCCCGAAAGGGAGCCGGAACACAGGUGCUGCAUGGCUGUCGUCAGCUCGUGUCGUGAGAUGUUGGGUUAAGUCCCGCAACGAGCGCAACCCUUAUCAUUAGUUGCUACGCAAGGGCACUCUAAUGAGACUGCCGGUGACAAACCGGAGGAAGGUGGGGAUGACGUCAAGUCCUCAUGGCCCUUAUGCGUAGGGCUUCACACGUCAUACAAUGGUCGGUACAGAGGGCUGCCAACCCGCGAGGGGGAGCCAAUCCCACAAAACCGAUCGUAGUCCGGAUUGCAGUCUGCAA